rnacentral:lncRNA from 1 species
GGUCAUAAGUUCAAACUCGGUCUUAAGGACCACACAUAUAUAUAGAUUGCUGAAGUUAGUGGGACAUGUGGCCCAAUCAGCCCCAAACAGGCUUAGUUUUGCACGCAUAAUUGAAGUCCUGGACACAAGGAAUAUUGCUAACAGGUAUCAGGUAUCCAAACAAUUCAUCAGAUUUAUCAGAACCUUAAUAGAAAUAAAAAUAGGCUCACAUUUGUUAAACUAUUACAAACUCAGACGAACUCAUUUGAGUCGGCUACGAACACACAUAAAUUGUAUGAACAUGAAGACUACAUUAAUGACUAAUUACACUAUCACCACACCAAUGUCCUAAAACUAACAAGCAAUUUUUUUUCAUCAUAGUUACACGACAACCUGCAACUCAUGGACACUUUAGAGUUCAUGCCAGACCUAAACACGAGAUUGGGAAGCCAUUUACUACAUUACUAUUACAUCACAAAGGUCAACUGCAGGAAUAACUAAAACAAAAGGGAUUCCUAAUUAAACAUC